UGUACCUGCUUGCAGGUGGGACCUAAAACACGUUUCCGUCACUUUGCUAGAGCUGCCCCGCCCACCCGUCCUAUAACGAAAGUGUGUGCGGAUGUGUGGAGUUUAAUCUGUGGAGCUGAUCUGGACCACGGUUGAUUUGGAGGAUCGCUGCCGUAAGAGGGACGUUGACCUGCGUGUUCAUUGCUACAUCAUGGAGGAGCAUAAGAUGGCCAACAGGGAUCCCAAGAUGAAGCAGCAGCGGGCCACCAUGGCGAGGAGAAGGAGGAUGGCAAUCAUGCAGGGCAGGGUCAUGCCUAGGGCAAGUUGCAAUGGAGGCAGCAUGGUGGGGCAGACGGCGAGCCAGGGACCCUUG